AGUUUUUAUUUUUCAGUUGAGGAAGAAUUUUAUGUUAAUGUUAAUGCAAAAGGUACGAAUAUUGACAGUUAAACCAUCACCACUUCCACAGCCACCUUGUCUCAAGCAUUCAAUUGCAUUCUAAGAUAUCUCUAUUCAAAUCAAGUGUGACUACUGUAUCAAAAGACUUUAGAAUGGACCAAUCAAAAAAGAGAAUGUAUGACUUCGGUAUCGCAAUACGAUAUCUUGCAUUGGUUUCUAUCUUAGA
rnacentral:lncRNA from 1 species